CAGGAUGAACGCUAGCUACAGGCUUAACACAUGCAAGUCGAGGGGCAGCAUCAGGUUAGCUUGCUAAUCUGGAUGGCGGCCGGCGCACGGGUGAGUAACGCGUAUCCAACUUCCCCCUGCUCAGGGAUAGCCCGGUGAAAACCGGAUUAAGACCUGAUAGUUUCACUAGAUGGCAUCUGACGGUGAAUAAAGGUUUCGGCAAGGGAUGGGGAUGCGUCUGAUUAGCUUGUUGGCGGGGUAACGGCCCACCAAGGCGACGAUCAGUAGGGGUCCUGAGAGGAAGGUCCCCCACAUUGGAACUGAGACACGGUCCAAACUCCUACGGGAGGCAGCAGUGAGGAAUAUUGGUCAAUGGGCGGAAGCCUGAACCAGCCAAGUAGCGUGCCAGGAAGACGGCCCUAUGGGUUGUAAACUGCUUUUGUGCGGGAAUAAAGUCAGGGACGCGUCCCUGUUUGCAUGUACCGCAAGAAUAAGGACCGGCUAAUUCCGUGCCAGCAGCCGC
rnacentral:rRNA from 1 species